CAGUAGCCACGGUAAUACAGGGGAUGCUAGUGUUAUUCGGAAUUAUUGGGCGUAAAGGGCCCGUAGGUGGUUUUUCAAGUCUGUUGUGAAAGGACAGGGCUUAACCCUGUGAAAGCGGCGGAAACUGAAGAACUUGAGCGAGGUAGGGGCAGGGGGUAUUCCUGGUGAAGCGGUGAAAUGCAUAGAUAUCAGGAGGAACACCAAUAGCGAAGGCACCCUGCUAGGCCGAAGCUGACACUAAGGGGCGAAACCUAGAGUAGCAAAUGGGAUUAGAUACCCCAGUAGUCCCUGUCUCUUAUAC
rnacentral:rRNA from 1 species